GUUUCCAUGGAGAAGUGGUUUAACUCGUCACUUUCACAUAGUGAAGAUCGCCGGUUCGAGCCCGGCUGGAAACA
rfam:Mucor circinelloides f. lusitanicus CBS 277.49 MTCCIscaffold_02, whole genome shotgun sequence.